UACGUAGGGUGCAAGCGUUGUCCGGAAUCAUUGGGCGUAAAGAGCGUGUAGGCGGCUCGAUCAGUCCGCUGUAAAAGUCCAGGGCUCAACCCUGGGAUGCCGGUGGAUACUGUCGAGCUAGAGUCCGGAAGAGGCGAGUGGAAUUCCUGGUGUAGCGGUGAAAUGCGCAGAUAUCAGGAGGAACACCAAUGGCGAAGGCAGCUCGCUGGGACGGUACUGACGCUGAGGCGCGAAAGCUAGGGGAGCAAACAGG
rnacentral:rRNA from 1 species